rnacentral:rRNA from 1 species
UUGACGGUACCCUACUAGAAAGGGGCCGCUAACUUCGUGCCAGAAGCGUCGGUAAUACGGGGGCUCCAAGCGUUAUCCGGUGUUAUUGGGCGUAAAGAGUCGUGUAGGUGGUUGGGUAAGUUAUCUUUCAAAUAUCUUUGCUUAACAAAGAGGAGGGGGAUAAUACUGCUCGACUAGAAUUUUCUCAAGGGAGAUCGGAACUGAGGGAGGAGUAGUGAAAUGCGUUGAUACCCUCGGGAACACCAGUGGCGUAGGCGGAUCUCUGGGAGAAGAUUGACACUGAGACACGAAAGCUAGGGGAGCGAAGCAGAUUAGAGACCUGCGUAGUCCUAGCCGUAAACGCAUGCUUGCUAGCUGCAUGAAUCUACCUUCGGGUGGUAUCGUGUGGCGAAGGUAACCCGUUAAGCAAGCCGCCUGGAAAGUACGGCCGCAAGGCUGAAAUUCAAAGGAAUUGGCGGGGAGGCACACAACCAGUGGAACAUGUGGUUUAAUUCGAGACUAACCGAAGAACCUCACCAGGGUUUGACAUGUAGCUGCACGUCUUAAGAAAUUAAGACUCUCUUGAAGGUGCUACACAGGUGCUGCAUGGCUGUCGUCAGCUCGUUCCGUGAGGAGUGCCCUUAAGUGGGACAACGAGCGCAACCCCUAUUACAUGUUAGAAAUGUCAUGUAAGACUGCCUUGCCAUUUGGCGGGGAGGAAGGAGGGGCAGACGUCAAGUCCGCAUGGUCCUUAUGCCCUGGGCUACACACAUGUUACAAUGAGUACGGCAAUGAGUCUGUCGCGAGCACGUAAGUGUAAGCUAAUCUCUUAAAUGUACUCUCAGUGGGGAUUGAGGUCUGCAACUCGACCUCAUGAACACGGAAUUGGUAGUAAUCGCGGGUCAGCUAUACCGCGGUGAUACGUUCUUGCCUCUUGCACACACCGCCCGUCAAACCAGCAAAGUCGAU